GACUUGUGUGCGCCGGAUGCGGCGAUCUGCGGCCAAAAGGUCGUUGCGAUCAGCCCGUCCUGGCGCCGUAAAAUUUGCAACUGAGUCGCCUCUGGUCUUAAUUGGUCGGUGGCGUCUGCUCGGUUGCUCGUUUACUGUGAGAAAAUUGGAGUGUUCAAGGCAGGCGUGGAUUGCAACUGAACAUGUUAGCAUGGAAUAAUAAGAUAGGGCUCCGGCUCAUAUUUUGUUGGUUUCUAUAACUGAAGUAAUGAUUGAUAGGGAUAGUUGGGGGUGCUAGUAUUGGCCGGCCAGAGGUGAAAUUCUUGGAUUCGGUCAAGACUAACUUAUGCGAAAGCAUU
rnacentral:rRNA from 1 species